UACUGUGUGGAGCUAGUCAGAUUCUAUAAUGAACUUGCUGCAGUGGUGACUGGAUAUAAGAAAGGUGAAACAAAGAGGAUCAGUAAGAAUGCCUAAGAAGACCAAGUAAGUACAAAAACAAAAACUAUUUGUGUGUGUGUAAAGUAAGUAAAUUUUCUUAAUAAACAGUAUCAUCAUUUGAUAAUCAAUUACUUUUUCUUUGAAUAGUUCAGGCAAGAUUUUGAAUGAAAAAUAUAGACCAUGGAUCAUUUGACACUGGAAAACAUGAUGAAGACAAAUCAUUUAAAAAUGUGUGAUAGAAUGAGAAUACCAGGCCAGUGUUGCAGUCAAAUGAUCUACUGCUAAGCUCUAGCCCCAUGCCACAUGCAUAGCUUGGAGAAGGUAAUUUAGAGGACAUGACCACUGUUUGACCUGUGAGCUGUUUGACUCCAGAGCCACUGGAGGCUCCUCACUUGCCUCCCCUGUGCUUGGAAUGUACAUGGUUCCCAUGUGGGAGGCAUUUUGAAGAACGUUGCCUUGAGAGAACAAUGUGUUGUUGAGAUCAUCUGGAUGGUAUAUGUGCCUGAACAUGUUUUUAAAUUCUGUUGGGUGAGUAUGGAGAUUUACUAGUCUUUCAACAGCCCAAGACAAGUUGUGUAAAUCCCCUUGCUUAUUAAACCUACCACCUAU